GUCCGAGGGCCAAAAGAUGCAAAUAAGCACAGAACAAUAACGCAAUCGUAUUAUAUCCUACUAAAGUGUGUUUUCAUAUGCAUAUUCAAUAACAUUUAGUAAUUUUUAUUAAUUUAUUUAUCCUUUCCUUUAUUACAACUGUCGACCUGUUUGCCAGGACUGUAGGGCGCCAGUUGUGAGUAGUGUUUGUUAACUAUUGUUAUAGUUAGAAAUUUCUAUGACAUGGUUAUGAAUCAUAAAAACUAAUUGCCUUUAUUUUCUGUUUUCAUGUAUCAUGACAGGGAGCAAGUAGAACAGAAAUUCAAAAAUUGAGGAGAAAUUUUGGAAAUGAAUAAGAAUUGGACGCAGGUUACGUAAAUAUUUUCAUUAGUAAGCUGUUUGGUUCGGCGCAGCAAAGGUAUGAAAAUUUGAAAAACCCGAUAUGAGACUCGAAAAAGUCCGAUUUAGGACUGAGGGCUGGACGCUGUAUCUCAGUGAUGUGCCUAUAAAGCAACCAAAGUGUAAGUGUGAAAAAGAAAAUUGUUAUCCCCCAUAUGUGCUGCUACCAAAAGUCAGUGUUUUGUUUUUUAUAUAAAAAGGACAUACCCUCUGUGUUCUCAUCUACUAAAAGGAGGCUCUCCAAAGCGAUUAAAAUAAUACAUUAUGUUUUAUAAACGCUAUCAUAGCGACUUGUAAAAUGUUUGAUUCUGUUCGAAACAAUUUAGGAAUGUGUAAAAUAAUUCUUCAUAGGAAAAUUUAAUUUCAAGGAAAAUUUGAAUAUUUGCUGAUGUAAAUGGUUUGAUAAAUAUUUUUUUUAAAUGUUUAAAAGGAGGAAUUUUGUACAAAAGAUAUGAAUUCUGAGAGGAAGAAGGAAAUUUUGUAAAUUAAAUUUGUUAUUCGCUAUCAAGUCCAAGCCUUUGAAAUUGGAUGUAACAGUGUAGAAAAUUGUAAUGUAGUUUUGAUAUUUUGAUCAUUUGAAAAAAAAUUUUUUAAGUAUAAACAACUUUGAUUAGAAGCCCCAUAGUUAAAUGUGUUGGUGUAGUUAAAGAGUUCAGUAAUAACAUUGCUGUUGUAAGAACCUCAAAUGCACUCAGGAGUAAUUUUAGGUUCUUAGGGGGUGUGUAACAUAGCAAGUUAUUACGAUAUAACAUUCGAUGCAGUAAGGCAAGCAGCCGUGUAGCACGAUGGCUUCAGGAUGGCUACGGUUUUUCUUCGCUCUGACUCACAGCGCAGCUGACGUUACUAGCCAUGAGAACAGUCUCAAGUAACAUUCAGUUGGUAUGCAAAUUUAUAAACCCUACGAAUGUAAAUAAAUCAUAGUAAUUAUCAUACGGUUUUGCUAAAAUUUGGUAUGCAGUCUUUUGUUAUUAAGGAAGGGAUCCUGUCAAAAUUUCAGAUUUUUAUCUAUUAUAGUUAUGGAGAUUGAGAAAAUUGCUUAAAUGUCCUAAAACCGACUCUUAUGUUUCAAAACUCAGUUAGGAACAGAAACCAAAUGUCUUUUAUUAUCGUCUGAAAUCAUAACAAAGCUCACAGUUUAUAAAGUCACUUAAUUGGAAUUUUCUUUUCAAAACUCUAAUUACUCUACAUUAUGUAAUAUAAAAAUCAUUCAAAAUUAUUAUUUGCUUAUCAUUUUGUUGUGUGAAUACAUGGGAAUGAAUGAGAGUUCACGUGGGACAUACGUUAAAACUUAAUGUCAUUUUAGGUAAAACCUUAUAAACCUGAACCUGGGAAAAUUGUGUUGCAACCACAAUGCCGAUGACAUGUGUCAAUGUGUGCUUGCUUUUGUAAGAGAGCAGCCAGAAUAAAAGCCUGGAGCAGAAAAGUUUCUAUAUUAAUUUAAAAAAUAUUUUGCAUUUAGUUCUAUUUUAUUAAACAAUAUAUUAGAAAUUGAAAUUGUAAUGGCGUAAAGGACUAUCUGAUUAGUGGUUGGCUAAGGCAAGUUUUGCCACGAGAAUGAUCUUGAAGGAUCCUUCUGAUUGGUCAUUCAGAUCAAUAGCCAAUCACUUCCGUCAUGCAGAUAGUUAGAUAGGCAGAGAGGAGAGGAGCAUUGAGAUAGUCGCUCGCUAACCUGCUUCCGAGUAACACCAUGGUAGAGGUCCCAGUGAAAAUAGCCUGUAAAAUGAAGAACUAGGGGGUUCAUUGUGUUUAUAAUGUGUCAUGAUUGUAACGGCUUAAGUUACGAACAUUUUGAUCAAAUGGUGAUAUUUCUGAAUUAAUUAAUUGAAGUUUCAUGAGCGUAUAAAAUUUUCAGCCAUAGUGACAAUUCCACGUGGCAUAUUCUGUGUUCUUUAUGGAAUACUUUGGCAAGCACUUCGGACAUAGAACACCAUUGAAAUGACUUAAUGUCCAACUGGCUAAUAAUGGUGGGUCAGUGACUGUUAGAUCGCAAAAAUUAAUCAGGUUCGGGCUUGCAGGAAUUCUGGCUGAUUUUAUGUGUGAAAUAUGUUGGAUAAACAGUGAACUUUGACUGGUAAAGCAUUUGCAUUAUUAAAUGCGGACUUGAUAGCCAUUUCAUGUGCUUCCUUGUGAAUAAAACGAGGUUAAUAGAA